rnacentral:rRNA from 1 species
UACGGAGGGUGCAAGCGUUGUUCGGAAUUACUGGGCGUAAAGCGCGCGUAGGCGGUUUGUUAAGUCAGAUGUGAAAGCCCUCGGCUCAACCGGGGACGUGCAUUUGAAACUGGCAGACUUGAGUAUUGGAGGGGUGGUGGAAUUCCCGGUGUAGAGGUGAAAUUCGUAGAUAUCGGGAGGAAUACCGGUGGCGAAGGCGACCACCUGGCCAAAUACUGACGCUGAGGUGCGGAAAGCGUGGGGGAG